GGGAAAGCGCGCGCAGCUUACAAGACAGACUACCAAGCAUAUAGACAGACAGAUCACUAAAAUCUUGUGACUUUUCUAGUAUAUCAUCUUAAAUUUAUAUUUUUAUUGUUCUGUACUCAGUGUUAAAUAAAAAAAAUCUUGUAUUUUAAAGUAAUAAGUUCAUUAAUAUCAUAAGGUAUGACUCUAUGAAAUAUUUAGAAUAUAAACACAUAAAAAAAUCAUUUUUAUAUUUAUUCUAUGUUUAAAUAUGUUUAGUAAAAAUCUAUGGUAACAGUAUAUUAACUAGCAGAAGUAUUGACGAAUUUUAUUAACAUAACAGUGAAGUUAAUCAUAAAGUUACUAGAAAAGUUUAAAGAUUUUUCAUUUAAUAACAAAGGCCAUAUUUUGAUACUAUUAAUAUAUUCUACAAAGAAAAUUUACUAUCAUAUUUUCUAAAAAAAGUAAUAGUUAAAAAAUGCUAUUUUUGCAAUAUAGAUAUCUAUCUGUUUGUGGGUAAUAGCUGCAAGAGCCUAGAGUGUGAUAGUGCUAUAAACAAAUAAAUAACAAUAAAAAUCAUUAUUCUGCUUGUUUUGCAAAAGUUAAUAUUGGUUAUCAAUAGCAUAAAAUGUUACUGCAAAUGAAAACGUCAUUUCAAGAUUCUUUUAAAGCAGCCAUUUUGGUGGCGGUUCUCAGCCGCAGAAAGAGGGGCAAGAUAUAACUCCAAACACUUGAAUGUGAACGAAAAAAUACGAGAAAAACUUUUAAAGACUGACAGUGGUGGAAAAAUUAUUGCUUAAAAUUGUAGAAGUGCAGUAAUCAAAAACAAUGGAGAACGAGGGGGGGAUUAACCCCCUCUCGUGACUACCGUUAAACAUCAAGAUUUCUCGUAUAGAGUUUAUUGAAAAAUGGGGGCUGACCCCUGUCCUCAAACCGAGGCAGGACUUACGCCCCCACCGAAAUGGUGCAGAGGAUCAUGGAGAUUUAAGAUCACUACCAAAAUUAAUCAGUCAAGAUGAUAAUGGUCCUAAUUCUCAAAAUCAGUAUACGGGUGUUGCACAUUUUGAACCAAUACCCCACGAUCAUGACUUUUGUGAAAGAGUUGUCAUUAACAUCAAUAAAAGUAUUCGAAUAAAACUGAGUAGUUUUAUUAAGAUGAUGCAAUUGACGAAUCUUAAAAAAUUGAUCUGUUUCAUAAGAAUACGAAUUUCUUCUAUAAAAUAUGGUAAGCGGUUUGCGGUUUGAAACUCAAUUACGUACACUGAAUCAAUUUCCAGAUACUUUGCUUGGAGAUCCAGCUCGAAGAAUACGUUAUUUUGACCCACUACGCAACGAAUAUUUUUUUGACCGCAACCGACCAUCGUUUGAUGCUAUUUUAUAUUAUUAUCAAAGUGGAGGUCGUUUACGCAGGCCUGUUAAUGUGCCUCUAGACGUUUUUUCUGAAGAGAUAAAAUUUUAUGAAUUAGGUGAACUGGCAACUAACAAAUUUAGAGAAGAUGAAGGCUUUAUUAAAGAAGAAGAAAAGCCAUUACCCUCACACGAAUUCCAAAGGAAAGUCUGGUUAUUAUUUGAAUACCCUGAAAGUUCCCAAGGAGCACGAGUGGUAGCGAUUAUUUCUGUGUUUGUAAUUUUACUAUCAAUAGUUAUAUUUUGCCUAGAAACUCUCCCAGAGUUUAAACAUUACAGGGUGUUUAAUACUACCACCAAUGGCACAAAAAUUGAGGAAGAUGAAGUGCCAGAUAUCACAGAUCCGUUCUUCCUAAUAGAAACCAUAUGUAUAAUCUGGUUUACAUUUGAAUUAUCAGUGCGCUUCCUGGCUUGUCCAAAUAAAUUAAAUUUCUUCCGUGACGUAAUGAAUAUUAUAGAUAUAAUUGCGAUAAUACCAUAUUUUAUUACUUUAGCUACGGUAGUAGCUGAAGAAGAAGAUACACUGAAUUUGCCAAAAGCUCCAGUAAGCCCGCAGGAUAAAAGUACGAAUCAAGCGAUGUCGCUCGCAAUACUCAGGGUUAUACGAUUAGUUAGGGUAUUUCGAAUAUUUAAACUAUCUAGGCACAGCAAAGGUUUACAAAUACUUGGACGAACGUUGAAAGCAUCGAUGAGAGAACUGGGUCUAUUGAUUUUUUUUCUGUUUAUUGGUGUGGUGCUUUUUUCGUCAGCAGUCUAUUUUGCCGAAGCUGGUUCAGAAAAUUCAUUUUUUAAGUCUAUUCCAGAUGCUUUUUGGUGGGCGGUUGUUACCAUGACUACAGUUGGCUACGGCGACAUGACGUAUGAUGCCUGUAGGUGUUUGGGGAAAAAUAGUUGGUUCUUUAUGUGCAAUCGCUGGUGUCUUGACGAUUGCAUUACCAGUUCCAGUAAUCGUAUCAAACUUUAACUACUUUUAUCACCGGGAGACUGAUCAAGAGGAAAUGCAGUCGCAAAAUUUCAAUCAUGUAACCAGCUGUCCAUAUCUUCCUGGCACUUUAGGCCAAAACAUUAAAAAAAAUUCAAUGUCGGAAUCAUCGUCAGACAUAAUGGAAUUAGAAGAAGGUAUUUUACUAAGACGUUCGGGUAUUAUAAAGAAACCAACCUGCAACCCUCAUUACAAUAAUAAUAUACAUCUUGCCUGUUUAAGUAUUGAGACUGAUGUCUGACUACAAGACCAGCAAUAAAAUUUCGCAUCUGCAAGAUCUGACUAGUAGAAGGUGAUCGCGCAAAAACGCCCUUGUAGACAUCUCGUAAGCGAGCAGAAGAGAAAUAGUCAGCAUCUUCAAAGAAUUGAAGACAAUGAAUAUAAAGAUUUGGAAGCUACCGUCAGAGUGUCAACUUUUCAAAUGGUACCUGAUAAUAAAUUAAAAUCUUCGUACGUGAAUACAUUUUUGGAUAUGGGCCAAGUAUCUUCUAUACACGUGCACAAAGACUUGCGAUUAAUUAUAUUUCUUUGAAGAAAUAUAACAUUUAUAGAAAAAAAAACUGAUAAAAAUGUGUUCUAAAUAGUUAAUACAGAUUUACAUAAGGACGAAUGAAGGUUGAAGCACCGUUCUUUUACUACCACCGAGUCCAGUGUUCAACUGAAUCUAUCUGAAUGAUUGGUCCUUUAAGGUUUAAAAGUAAUUAAAACCAACAGUGUUACCAGAAAUAUAUCUUUAUACUUAAUUUUGAAAAGGGGCAUCAUUUAUAAGCAAAUUACUUUUAUCUUGAUAAUAAAAAUUUGACUAUGUACCUAUAAAAAUGUGACGUCCACAUAAGCAUCGAUCGAUAUUAAUUAAGCUUGAUGAAAAAUUAGUGAACUAUAAGAAACUAAAACUUAAUUUAUCUUACUUUUACAGUUUUAGAAUAAGAACUAUAAUAAAGAACUCAAAUAAAUGUAAUAGAGCAAUAUAUUUCCAGUGAACUCCGAUAUAUUAUUUAAGUAAUUUUUAUAAUCAUACCUCAGAGUAAUGAAAUAUAUGCCUUAUUAAAAAAAUGUAUAAUUAAUAUUACUA